UACGUAGGUGGCAAGCGUUGUUCGGAAUUACUGGGCGUAAAGGGCUCGUAGGCGGCCAACUAAGUCAGACGUGAAAUCCCUCGGCUUAACCGGGGAACUGCAUCUGAUACUGGAUGGCUUGAGUUCGGGAGAGGGAUGCGGAAUUCCAGGUGUAGCGGUGAAAUGCGUAGAUAUCUGGAGGAACACCGGUGGCGAAGGCGGCAUCCUGGACCGACACUGACGCUGAGGAGCGAAAGCUAGGGGAGCGAACGGG
rnacentral:rRNA from 1 species